rnacentral:rRNA from 1 species
GAUGAACGCUGGCGGCGUGCCUAAUACAUGCAAGUCGAGCGAAUGGAUUAAGAGCUUGCUCUUAUGAAGUUAGCGGCGGACGGGUGAGUAACACGUGGGUAACCUGCCCAUAAGACUGGGAUAACUCCGGGAAACCGGGGCUAAUACCGGAUAACAUUUUGAACCGCAUGGUUCGAAAUUGAAAGGCGGCUUCGGCUGUCACUUAUGGAUGGACCCGCGUCGCAUUAGCUAGGUGGUGAGGUAACGGCUCACCAAGGCAACGAUGCGUAGCCGACCUGAGAGGGUGAUCGGCCACACUGGGACGGAGACACGGCCCAGACUCCUACGGGAGGAAGCAGUAGGGAAUCUCCCGCAAUGGACGAAAGUCUGACGGAGCAACGCCGCGUGAGUGAUGAAGGCUUUCGGGUCGUAAAACUCUGUUGUUAGGGAAGAACAAGUGCUAGUUGAAUAAGCUGGUACCUUGACGGUACCUAACCAGAAAGCCACGGCUAACUACGUGCCAGCCGCCGCCGUAA